rnacentral:lncRNA from 1 species
CCGCUGCCCGGGAGAAGCAUCUCGCGUUCAGGAGGACGGAGGGCUGCACAGGAUACGCCGGUAUAAAAACAACAUAGCCAAGUGCAGAACACGGAAAACGUCUGCAGCAGAGAGAAAUCGGGUUUCUUCAGCUUCCAUCACUGCGAUGAUAAGAGGUGACGUGGACCUUUCCCCAGCCCUGGCUUUGCACAGAGAACUUCAAGCUGAUGGAAGAAACAAACACUUUUAAUGAAACAUAUGCAAGAUACUUAGGAGGAGAAGAUUCACAAUGCAUCUGCUGCGGGACCAGAAGGCUUAUCAGAAGUGUGAAGUAGG